UAUGACCUACCUUUGUGCUUUGAAAACCAAUGGCGAUUGCAAGAUUGUGUUACUAAACAGACAAAUGGUUAAUAAAAUGAGGUGAUUUGAGGUCGUAAAAAAUACUAAAUUGCUGGAUUUUAUCGACAAGGCUUGAAUUGAAUCAAUGAACCAAAUUCUCCAACAUGAUGCAAACAAAAUUGCUUUCUGCAAAACUACUCAAUCAAUAAAAAGUUAACGGCUGCUAUAUGACGAGAAUAGUGUUUUGAAACUCUUUCGUAUAGCGGUCUGUUCAUCAGCGGGUCAAGUAAGACAUUGUCAAAGUAAUCUAAGAUGUUUAAUAAAGGCAAUCGCUUCUAAAUCUAUGUCUUUAGGGAAAAUCAAGUCUUGCUGUAGCAAUUUUAGCAGAAGAUAACUAAGACACUCGUAGUAAAAGGAGCUUCAUUACGUUUGUGAUAAAAUAUAAAUUGUUGUAUUUUCAACCUUCGUUGGAUCUUUGUUUCGUGAUUCAAAUGUAGGCCAGUUACUUUCACAGUCCUCUAACCUUCGGGAGUCAGAACUAGAAUCAAGAAACAGUAUACUCCCGUUCAGUCAAACCAUACAGGGGGCAUAGAAUAUCUGUCCCCCUUAGCAAAUGCCCCGGAGAAGCGAAUCUCUUAAUAAGUGGGACAAAAGGAGAGAAAGAUAAAAAUUCCCAUUUGUUUAUAAGUUGUAUGAAUCGAGAAGUGAAGGAGACAGCUAAUCUACACAUUUUGAGAAAGCUUAAAGGAAUUAACUUGAAAUCUAAUUUUUUGCACAGUUCGAAAGCGGAAAGGGAAAGUUGAAUAUUUUGGGUAAGUCUCUUUAUUUAUAAGAAAACUUUCUCUUACCAGGUGAAGAGGCAGUAGUUUCACAGUUAUAACAAAUAUAGGACCGGAAUAGCGAACCUUGAAAAGAUGAUGUGACUAAUUUAAUGUCAUAGACGUCAAGGAGACUGCUGAUCGAAUUAGGAAAUCAUCAAUCGUUAGGGUCAAGAAAAGAUCCUUUUGGGUAUAUGACAUUCAGCAAAUCGUUUCACCUUGCUAGAUAUCCAUCGAGGGCACCGUCCCCCAACCUGCAUGUAGAGGUUAGGGUAUCCUGAACUAUAUGAGUUAAUCUUUUUAUUUCGUAAUCUGAAGGAAGAAACGAGUUACGAGAUCAAAGAUCAAUGGAAACUCAUUUGACAACACAUCAUAUGCUAAGGAUUGUGUAGAAAGCGUUUGGUGUUGUUUUACAGCACUGUCUCUUGUAAGGAAUGUAGAAACCUCAAAAUUCAUUAUCACACUAAUCAUUGGACAACAGCAUGUAUGGAUCGGGUGGAAUUGAAUGCUCUCAUAGAAGGCAUCACCUAUUUUAUCAUCCCUGACCACUAAAGGUUACAUGAAAUCGACUCUUGUGUGCCUGGGGGUGUGUUGUUGCAUGACUGCAAGAAGAUGUUAAGUGGAAAAGUUGAAAGAAAUAUUAUGCAUUUGUUAACGAUGUUGCAAUACUGGAUCAAAAUUAACAACAUUCCUGAUGUUCUUCACAACCUUAGGACAUUUUUCAAAGGGUUGUGAAAGGUUUCAUUGCAGGAAACAAAUCAGAAUGUAAAGAUUGGAUUUCUUAGCGUUCUGAGAAGCCAAAGUCAUCAUAAAUUUUCCUUACAAGAUGCAUUGGGUCUUCAGUGGUUGCUUGCUAAACACAAAGAGUGGUGCAUAACAGAAAAGUUCCAAGUUUGCUUAUGACUCAGCACAACGUCAUGGAAGCUGAUGAUGUACCCAUAAUAAAAACCUUUAACUCUGCAUGUCUGUCAAGGGAUAAGUCUGUAAGCUAACCAUUUUGGUAAAUAAAUCUCUUGAAAAUAUGAAGUCAUUUCUUGAAAAACGAAUAGGCUUUUUAACGAUUGUUAUGAUGUUGUGACAGUUUGUUCCACAUCUGUUGAGCCGAUGUCUGCUUUGAGUAAAUUCAAUUUUGAUAACGGUAUCACACUGAAGGUUUGAUCGGUCAAAACAAGUUAUAUUUCUGUUGCAAUAAUGUCAUAGCUUGCCUUCUUUUACUUUUCUUCAAACAUUUUGGGAUCGUUGUGGUGAACUUGAACAUUUUUAAGAACACCUUUGCAAACGCGAAUGCAAAUCUAUUUCUAGAUUGCAUCACAUUCGAGCAAGUGACGUCAUGCCUAAAAAAGCUUUCUACUCACUUUUUUUUAAAAACAUUCUAGUUAGUUCUUGUUUUCCAAGAGCUUAUGAUUACGCAGUUUGAUUUUAUCAACUUCCGUCAACUCAGUCUGUCAUUUUCCAUUCACUAUUAAUCUAGUCUGUCAUUUUUCCAUUCACUUUCAAGAUUGACGCAAAGUAACGAAACUCAUAUUGAAGACCCAAAUAGCCUCAAUUCAGAUGAGUUGAAAAUGUUCAAUUCAGGCUGUUGUGGCGUCGAAAGUCUGUAGGACGCUGUUUUUAGUAACUGCGGAAUUAAACUUUCCUAAUGCUAAUUGACGACGUGUUAAUGAUAAUUUGAGGUGAAAGCUCGUCCUUUCACUAACGAGUUUGGAAUUUGCGGACGUCAAAGCUAUAUAGUCCAGAUCUUUCAGUGGUAGAAAGAAAUUGAACUCUUAUCUGGAACCUUAAAGUACGUCAAAGAUUAAAGAAUUGAAGAAGAUGGAAGUUGUCUGGACGCAUACAGUCACUCCAUGAAGACACACCUGCCCGAAAGUCAGCAAGGCAGGAAAAUUCACCACGGACAAAAAAGGCUGAAAUACCACGGACAAAUCUACCGUGGAAGCUAAAUGAGAAUGUAACAAAAUAUACAACAAGUGGCAUGAAGCUGAAAACAAAUGAAGACCUUCGAAAAGUCUAAAGAAAUCACACAAGACAGGAAGAAAUGGAAAAAACUGAUAAAUGGCAUUAAUAGAACCGCUAAAGCAGAGAAGAAUUAAGUAAUUAUGGUUUUGGAUGCAACAUAGCUUUAAAUAUAACUCCUUUUGAGUAGUUAAACGGACCUUGUUAGUGUUUCUAAAAUUGGUGUAAAAUGUGUUUGGUCUUUAGAUAAGAUGAAUGUGAUCUUUUAUAUGAAAGAUUUGCUCAGAAUUUCGAUAUGAUACCAUCAAUUAAUGCUUAAUUGUUGUCAGUCUGUAAGUAGUUUCUUUUUGGCUCAUUAGUCAACAAGUCAAGUGAUGUAUUAUUUUCUAGAAAUUAAAACUUUUUCAUAUCUUUUUCAUGAAAGAUCCUUUAUCAAUGCCCAUUAUUAAUCUUAUCCUCACUGAGUUAAAAGACUUCCUGAGAAGACCAAAAUUUCUAUCAACCUAUCUUUUAAUUGACAAGUAUAAUUUUCAUGAUGAUUAUCCAAGAAACCUAUGAAUAUAUAACGGUCUUUGUACUUUGUUCUCUAUAUUUGUCCUUAUUGAGGGGAAUCCAGCUGAUGACAAUAGCAGGAGGUUAGCUUAAAAAGAGGCUCCACCUUCUCAGACAGUUAUAAAUUUAAUGAAAGGACUUGAUGAUAAAGAAAUGAUAUUCUAGAGAUAAUUUAGUUGAGUUGUGGAAAGCAGUUCUUGUCUAUCCGUUAGGAUCAUAACCCUAUUGACUAUUGUUUCUUUCUUGCAAUGACCUGAAGACUCUUGGAGCAUUUAAACUUGCUCUUUUGUUGGUUUUCAAGUGAAUAUUUUUGAGUAGAUAUUUUGCAAAAGAACAUUUUUCUGCCUUAUCAUAAAUCUUUAUUGUAAAGCAUUCAGUUGCCCUCAAGUCUAAGACUUAUGCUCUGCUAGGCAAACAUUUUCAAUAAAGGCAUGUCAAAAUAACAGGAGGCACAACACAGAAGAAGCGCUUUCAAUCUGGACUAUUUUCCCUUGAAUUGAAUUGUCAAUUUGUAUUUUUUUCAACCAGCAUCUGAAGGUAGUUGUUUUAGGACAUUGGUCCUUCCUCUAGAUGUGGCCACACCUCGUAAUACCUACGCCUGGAAUUGCAGAGAGCUGGUGACUCUCUUCACUCUGGGUGAAUGUUUGGUUAUGUCAGGGGUUCGAUCCUCAUAUCUUUAGACCUGUAGUCCACGACCCUAACCACUGGGCCAUCUGCACACUUUGUUUAUGCAUAGGAAAAACAUAGAAUUGUUAAUAGAUAGGUGGAAAUCUCCUAACACAACUAGUAAACAUGUUUUGUUUCUGAUCUUUGUUAUUGUAUUCGAGGAUUAGCAGGUAGGUGAAUACGAAAAAUGUACACUGAUUGCGGGCACGCCUUUUUCGUUCGUAUUAUCUUUGCUACUACGAAUGUUAAAUCAUGAAUUGAAAAUAGCGAUUGUAUGAACGUUGGCUUGUAUGAUUGGAAUUCGCUUGGCAGUUGACAUAGGCGUAGUUUUAGAUCGCCUCAGGACGAGACAUGUUGACAAGAUCACUGAUAACAGAUGCAAAGUUCGAUUGCCCACGUCAUUUGUGGAUAAGAUAACGAUAACAAAAAACAUCACAAGCCAUUUUCUGUCAUUUGCAAAAAAGCUUCUUCUCAAUAAAUCUUUUUGUUUGAAAGAUUUCAAGUCUUACAAGGUUUUUAGCCUUUGGUUGAAAAUUGGAAUGCGAGAAAGAUUUCAGGGAGUGAAUAAAUAUGAUUUAUUUCAAAAUGUUCAUAGAGAAAAUACGGCGAGGAUGGGAUACAUUGAAAUGGGGUACAGUACCUUAUCUUCUAAUUGGAGAAUUUGUGGGAAGAAGUGUUUAUAGCUUACCCAACACAUUGAAUGAUCAUUCUUGAAAGGGAUAUGAUUGUUCUUGUGAGUAGACUUUAGUAUCCCAAUUUUGGCAGUGUUUGCAGAGAUGGACAGAUGUUAUAAGUGGGUGAAACUCGGAGUACAGUGCAGGUACAGAUCUUUCCUGCCAGUCUUGUUCUAACAAACAGAUUUAUCAAAACAUGUUUACUUGCUGGGAUAAAGCUGGUAAUCGUUUCAUCAACAGUGCUGUUAAUGUCUUUAAGUACUUAAUCAUUGAGUCUUAAUGUGCGAUAAAUCGAUUGAUGGUUGCUGCAGGUUUCAAGUGGGAAGAUUGAACGAGCACUUCGCUGAAAUACAGAGGGAUCUUUACCUUAGCAUUUCUAAUGCUUGAGUAUCUAACAUAAGAUAUUGCUGUUGACAAAAUUUUCCUGAUGUCAUUGCUAUGCACAUAAACCGACCAAAUUUUGAUUUUUCAUUAGUCCGUGCCAUAUAACCAAAACUUUAAACUUCAGUUUACGUUCUUGUCUUCGAUAAAUAGGAUUUAUGGUAGCAUUAAUCUGUCUUCUUGAAGCUCAAUGUUCUGAGGUCAUCCACAAGACACGCACGCACAUACCGUGUAUUCGAUUGUCCUAUUUAUAGUAUUUGAAUGAUAGCAAAUCUCUUGAAUUGUUUGUUCGAUUCGCAGUGCUACUUAUUUCAGGCAUCCUUUCGAUUAAUACAUUAGCAUUUUGUAGUACAGUGAAAUUCAGAGACGAACUUUUCGGGGGGAGUUGGAGUGCAACAACCCUUGAGCAAUUUUACAACAUUCGGUCUAUUUUGCUUGAUUUGGUAAGAGGAUUUUUUUGGUAGUCAGCAGUAACUGAAUGACGCAAAAAUCUACGUGGUUAAUUCUCCUAUCUUAUUUAUUUUGUAACUAGGUUAAUUUAUUUUGUUAUGCAAUAGAUCUUCCUGUAAGUUUUUAAAUGGUGGGCCCUUUGAAGCUGAAGAGCUACCUUCAAUAGACGUAUGAAUGAAAUGAAAAGUAGUCAAAACUUUCUUGGUAAAAUUUGCUAUUCCAUCUUUUUCUAGACAACUUUUGGGUAUGACACCAAAAGCCGAUCAUAGUCUAGCCCACACCCCAAAUUCUUUGCCUCUAAAAUCCGCGUUUUGCAAUAGUCUAUUUACGUGUUCAUGGAAAAUAAUGUUUGCUGCAUAGUAAUUUAGGCUUAAUUCUAUACUCUUCUGGUAGCCUUUAUUCGUAGUGGUGCUGAAGAUAUUAGGAAAAUAGAGUUGAUAAUUCAUUCCUAAAUUUUAAAAGACAUUAAGUGUAGUAUUAGGUUUAAAAUGAAAAAUAUAAGCUUAAGAAUCUAGCUUUGAUGCUAAUGAAGUAAUCGCAUUGAGGAAUCUUUUUAUAA